rnacentral:rRNA from 1 species
UGGGGAAUAUUGCACAAUGGGCGCAAGCCUGAUGCAGCCAUGCCGCGUGUAUGAAGAAGGCCUUCGGGUUUUAAAGUACUUUCAGCGGGGAGGAAGGGAGUAAAGUUAAUACCUUUGCUCAUUGACGUUACCCGCAGAAGAAGCACCGGCUAACUCCGUGCCAGCAGCCGCGGUAAUACGGAGGGUGCAAGCGUUAAUCGGAAUUACUGGGCGUAAAGCGCACGCAGGCGGUUUGUUAAGUCAGAUGUGAAAUCCCCGGGCUCAACCUGGGAACUGAAUCUGAUACUGGCAAGCUUGAGUCUCGUAGAGGGGGGUAGAAUUCCAGGUGUAGCGGUGAAAUGCGUAGAGAUCUGGAGGAAUACCGGUGGCGAAGGCGGCCCCCUGGACGAAGACUGACGCUCAGGUGCGAAAGCGUGGGGAGCAAACAGG